rnacentral:rRNA from 1 species
AGUGAACGCUGGCGGUAGGCCUAACACAUGCAAGUCGAACGGCAGCACAGGAGAGCUUGCUCUCUGGGUGGCGAGUGGCGGACGGGUGAGGAAUACAUCGGAAUCUACUUUUUCGUGGGGGAUAACGUAGGGAAACUUACGCUAAUACCGCAUACGACCUACGGGUGAAAGCAGGGGAUCUUCGGACCUUGCGCGAUUGAAUGAGCCGAUGUCGGAUUAGCUAGUUGGCGGGGUAAAGGCCCACCAAGGCGACGAUCCGUAGCUGGUCUGAGAGGAUGAUCAGCCACACUGGAACUGAGACACGGUCCAGACUCCUACGGGAGGCAGCAGUGGGGAAUAUUGGACAAUGGGCGCAAGCCUGAUCCAGCCAUACCGCGUGGGUGAAGAAGGC